AAAAAUACUCUAUUUGCUUUUCUUACAUCCGAAAAAAAAGAAUUGCGAAUGAGUUAUUAUAUAACUAGAUUUGCUAUUGCAAGCAAUAGCGGACGAUGGCACCCCGUACUGCACAUUGUCACAGUAGCAUCAACAAUUCUGAGUGUACAAAAGUCAAAUGGCAUAUCUAUUAUACAUGUCGGAAUUAACAUGUCUAAACAACACCCCCCCCCCCUUUUUUUUUUUGCUCUUCCGUAGAAUACGUUUCAGUUCUAUACAUAGUUUGGGAAUCCUUUUUAAAUCUAAAAUUAGACACGCGCGCAAGUAGGAAGGUGGUGUCACGUGAUACUGAAGUAUAUUAUCGUGGACUUAGCAUAUUAAUAUUCUUUUUAGAGGGGACCUUGGACAGACAACAUGUGUAUAUAUUGACGGAGCGGCGUAUUAACUGUUCAAUUUAUUCUUCAAUAGCUCGCGUAUCACACAAUACAUGUAACUUAUCGUGUACAAUUUAAUUACAUGUUUAUCGAUUGAUUUCAGCUAAUGUGUAAAUUUUAGCAGGUGUGUCAUUCACGGAUAUGUACUUUAACGCAAGUGCAGAAAUGUCAGCAAUUUGUACUCUGAGUGUUUCUCGUUCUGUCGGUGGCGAUUUUCUCUUUUAAAGCACAUUAAAUAAAAUACAUAUUUUUAUUCUAGAAUAUUCUAGUACAUGUUAGCAGUACAGCAUUGCAUGUGACCCUAUGCACAUACUCCUAAUUACGAUUUCCGUGGAAUUGUUGUUAUAUUUUUAAAGAAAAUGCAGCUUAAAUGCAUUUUCCCAUAGGGUCAAUGUUAAACUUUUGUCCAGUUUCCAUGGCAAUGGCAGCCAUUUUGAAAAUUCCAAGUACUGUUGGUACCUCGGGCCACCACUGCCAACAUUUACUCAAACUUUCAAGACUUUGCCUCUUACAACGAAAGAUUUAAAAUUUGGAUUUUUUUUUACAUUUUUUUAGUUUCCAUGGUAACGGCGGCCAUUGUUUACCAUUCCAAUGUCUCUUGCACAACUUCACAUGGCGGUUCACAUUAUGGUAUAGUUCCAUCAACAUGGGUCUGACCAAUUACGAGAAAUAGCGUGGACAAAAUGUGUGGAAGAAUAAAAAUAAAAAGAAAAAAAAGAAACGUAGAAUAACAAUAUGUCACCCCAACUCCGUUGAGGGUGCCAUAACUAGAUUUGUAAUUGCUAGCAAUAACGGAUGGCACCCUUCCCCCAUUGCCAGGU
rnacentral:lncRNA from 1 species